GAUGAACGCUGGCGAGAUGCUUUACACAUGCAAGUCAUACGAGAGUUUUUAACUCAAGUGGCGGACGGGUGAGUAACACGUAAGAAUUUACCUUUAGGAGGGGGAUAACAACGAGAAAUUGUUGCUAAUACCCCAUAUGCUUUCGAGUGAAAUGGAUUUUUCCGCCUAGAGAGAAGCUUGCGCCUGAUUAGCUUGUUGGUAAGGUAAUGGCUUACCAAGGCGACGAUCAGUAUCUGGUUUGAGAGGAUGAUCAGACACACUGGAACUGAGACACGGUCCAGACUCCUACGGGAGGCAGCAGUGGGAAUCUUAGACAAUGGGGGCAACCCUGAUCUAGCCAUGCCGCGUGAGUGACGAAGGCCCUAGGGUCGUAAAGCUCUUUCGCCAGGGAUGAUAAUGACAGUACCUGGUAAAG
rnacentral:rRNA from 1 species